CUGAGGCACAAUGGUUAAGCGCUUGGCUGCCAACCAAAAGGUUGGUGGUUUGAACCCACCCAG
rnacentral:tRNA from 1 species